rnacentral:sRNA from 1 species
CUCAAUGUCUCUGACCGUGACCAUAGCUCCGAGGUUACCAGAAUAAGGACCUUGACCACACAGGCUGAACUUGGAGACUCAGGAUUGCUGUUGGCUGCUGUCUCACCGCAGACUGCCACAGCGGGGCGGGAGGAAGCGGGCUCAUCUCUCAGUGAAACGUUGCAGUGUCUGUCACUGAGGAACCAGCAUCUGCCCUGACUGAAGCUCCCUUUGCCAACACGCAGCACCGGAACUGGGUUGGACAGAACACACUCAGAGCUGUGGUUUAAUAACAAGAACAAAGCAAAGCCCUCACAGGAAGGUUCAGAGCACCGUUCAUCACUGGAGCACCACCAGGAUUGACCCAGGAGCCCCACACACUUCAGAACCCACAUCUUCAAGGCAGCUGCUUUAAACUGCAGAAGGCAUGUCUCCUGAUAUCUUCCUGGGGAGCUGGGGUUCCCUGUAGCCACAGGGAGGCUCUGUAGAGAGAUCAUCAGCUCUGCAGGCCUGGCUGUGUGGCCUCCAUUUGGUGACUAAGCCUCUCUGUGCUUUCAUGUCUUUAUUCAGGAGUGGUAACUGUCUAGAGUGUCAAGAUCAUGAUGCAGCGCUUCAGCAA